GAUCAUGGCUCAGAACGAACGCUGGCGGCAGGCUUAACACAUGCAAGUCGAGCGCCCCGCAAGGGGAGCGGCAGACGGGUGAGUAACGCGUGGGAAUCUACCUUUUGCUACGGAACAACAGUUGGAAACGACUGCUAAUACCGUAUGUGCCCUUCGGGGGAAAGAUUUAUCGGCAAAGGAUGAGCCCGCGUUGGAUUAGCUAGUUGGUGAGGUAAAGGCUCACCAAGGCGACGAUCCAUAGCUGGU
rnacentral:rRNA from 1 species